rnacentral:rRNA from 1 species
UACGAAGGGGGCUAGCGUUGCUCGGAAUCACUGGGCGUAAAGCGCACGUAGGCGGAUUGUUAAGUCAGGGGUGAAAUCCUGGAGCUCAACUCCAGAACUGCCUUUGAUACUGGCGAUCUUGAGUCCGGGAGAGGUGAGUGGAACUGCGAGUGUAGAGGUGAAAUUCGUAGAUAUUCGGAAGAACACCAGUGGCGAAGGCGGCUCACUGGACUGGAUUAUG